rnacentral:sRNA from 1 species
AGCAUACUUUUUGGCGCGCUGCAGACCAAGUGAAUGUGAAAUGUGACAAACACACCGAGUGACAGUUGUUAACCAAAAAACCAUGAACAAAAACAGAAAACAGAGAAAAACACUGAAAAUGGCCAACCAGAUGGAAAUGGAAAUGGAAACAAGUUGUGCCUUUGCAGAUACUGGAUGUGCGAGGCCCCGGGAGACAUUUAACAUAAUAAAAACGAACGUGUGCGGCAUUUUUGUGUUGCCUUUGCCAAGUUAACAGUAUCUCGCGGCGUGUGUGUGUGUGCGGGUUUGUUUAAUGCUAAUAUUACAGACACGCUCGCAAACACACACCAACACCCAGAAAGAUGUCCUGGUCCAGACACACCAACCAAACAAGCAUCCAAUAUUGCAAAUGUGUGCGCCAAGCAGUUGGCAAAAGUGUCGUAAAUCGUUUAGACAGCGAAACGUGGAGCCACCAAGAAAAAAAAGGGAAAGGGGCCCAAACGAUAUGUAAACGACACAGUCGCCGUGGGAAAAACUCCAAAAAUUCACACACAUAAGCACAAAACAAAACAAAAGUUAAAUAAAAGGAGACCAGCCAAUGGAGGAAUAAAAGAAUGGCCAGGAGAAUCGCAGGAAUCAGGACACAUCGCCCACAGAACUGCAUUUGUUGCUUGUUGUUCGAGCCAAAUGAUGUGCGGGUAAAAUAGUUAUAAUCAAGAGGAACCUCAUACACAUUCAUUGAAUUGUCCAUAACAAUUACACCCGAGCUGAUGAAGUGUGUCCCGUGGCUCCAUCAAUAUUGUGAUAAAUAUAAAAACUGUCAUAAAUAAACCAAUUUUAUAGAACAGAGAAUA